GAUGAACGCUGGCGGCGUGCCUAAUACAUGCAAGUCGAGCGAACAGACGAGGAGCUUGCUCCUCUGACGUUAGCGGCGGACGGGUGAGUAACUCGUGGAUAACCUACCUAUAAGACUGGGAUAACUUCGGGAAACCGGAGCUAAUACCGGAUAAUAUAUUGAACCGCAUGGUUCAAUAGUGAAAGACGGUUUUGCUGUCACUUAUAGAUGGAUCCGCGCCGCAUUAGCUAGUUGGUAAGGUAACGGCUUACCAAGGCAACGAUGCGUAGCCGACCUGAGAGGGUGAUCGGACACACUGGAACAGAGACACGGUCCAGACUCCUACGGGAGGCAGCAGUAGGGAAUCUUCCGCAAAGGGCGAAAGCCUGACGGAGCAACGCCGCGUGAGUGAUGAAGGUCUUCGGAUCGUAAAACUCUGUUAUUAGGGAAGAACAAAUGUGUAAGUAACUAGGCACGUCUUGACGAAACCUAAUCAGAAAGCCACGGCUAACUACG
rnacentral:rRNA from 1 species